GAGACUCUGUGCGCGUGCAUAUCAAUAAGCGGAGGAAAAGAAACUAACUAGGAUUCCCUCAGUAACGGCGAGUGAAGCGGGAAGAGCUCAAAUUUGAAAUCUUCAAGGUUCUACCUUGACGAAUUGUAGUUUAUAGAAGUGUUUUCUGUUAGUAGAGUGGUAAAAGUUCUUUGGAAUAGGACAUCAUAGAGGGUGAGAAUCCCGUAUUUGAUCAUUAUUUCCAGCUGUGUGAUACACUUUCAAAGAGUCGGAUUGUUUGGGAAUGCAGUCCAAAAUGGGUGGUAAAUUUCAUCUAAAGCUAAAUAUUGGCGAGAGACCGAUAGCGAACAAGUACCGUGAGGGAAAGAUGAAAAGAACUUUGAAAAGAGAGUUAAACAUGUACGUGAAAUUGUCAAAAGGGAAGCGUUUGACACCAGUGUUGUUUAGUUGAAAGUCAAUUCAAUAGUUUUUGAUUCUAAGUAGUAUUGACUUCAUCAGCUUGCUGCUUUCUUUUCGAAAAUUAUUGAAUGCACUUUUCAGUUAACAAGUCAACAUCAAUUUCUUUUGUUGUAAAAGAGUCAUUGGAAGGUGGCUUUCACUUCGGUGAAAGUGUUUAUAGCCUUUGGCUUCUACAAUCGGAGAGAUUGAGGUCUGCAGCGUAGAUCCUUCGGGGUUAGAUACGUAGAUGCUAAGUUAUAGUUUUUAUAGACAACUUGUUGACUAUGAUUAAUCAUGUAGCUUACUCGUUUACGCUAUUUUACCUACGCUUAGGAUGUUGAGUCGUAGAGCACGCAG
rnacentral:rRNA from 1 species